AUUUAAUAAUAAGAAGAAACAACAAAAGAAAAAAAUACACAAACAUAUCCACAGCACCAUUUCCUGAGAUGUUAGCAAUGUGAGGUUUAGUGGUAAGGUCUCAGACUCUGUCA